UAAUUGUGUAUAUGAGUUUCUUAACCCAGUGCUUGGCAUAUAACAAGAACUCAAAACCUCUUCCUAAAGUUAAAGUUUUAGGGUCCGUAGAUUUAGUUUGCUGAUGUUCUAACUGGAUAUAUGAAUCAUCAUUAUCAUAGCUAGCUCAUUUUUCUUUUUCUUUUUCUUUUUUAUUUAUUUAUUUAUUUUUUUGAGACAGAGGCUCACUCUGUCACCCAGGCUGGAGUGCAGUGGUGCCAUCUCAGCUCAUUGCAACCUCUGCCUCCUAGGUUCAAGCGAUUCUCCUGCCUCAGCCUCCCAAGUAGCUGAGAUUACAGGUGUGCUCCACCAUGCUCAGCUAAUUUUUGUAUUUUCAGUAGAGACAGCAUUUCACCAUUUUGGCCAGGCUGGUCUCAAACUCCUGACCUCAAAUGAUCCACCCACCUCGGCCUCCCAAAGUGCUGGGACUACAGACGUGAGCCACCGCACCCAGCUGCUAGCUUGUUUUUCUAACCACGAUUUGAAUACAUUAACCCAAUAUUUAUACCAACCUUGUUACAUAAGUACUAUUGUUGUUAUAUUAUAAAUGAGGAAAUUGAGGCACAAAGAGG
rnacentral:lncRNA from 10 species